AGAGUUGAUCCUGGCUCAGGAUUAACGCUGGCGGCAUGCCUAAUACAUGCAAGUCGAAUGGUUAGCUUGCUAACCAUGGCGAACGGGUGAGUAACACGUAGGUAACCUGUCUUCAAGACGAGGAUAACCAUUGGAAACGAUGGAUAAUACUGGAUAGGACAAAUCCCCGCAUGAGGAGAUGUUUAAAGGAGCAAUCCACUUGAUGAGGGGCCUGCGGUGCAUUAGUUAGUUGGUGAGGUAACGGCCCACCAAGACGAUGAUGCAUAGCCGGACUGAGAGGUUGAACGGCCACAGUGGAACUGAGAACGGUCCAUACUCCUACGGGAGGCAGCAGUAGGGAAUUUUCGGCAAUGGGCGGAAGCCUGACCGAGCAAUGCCGCGUGAAUGAAGAAGUAUUUCGGUAUGUAAAGUUCUUUUAUUUGGGAAGAAAAACAAAUUGACGGUACCAAAUGAAUAAGCUCCGGCUAACUACGUGCCAGCCGCCGC
rnacentral:rRNA from 1 species